GACAAACGCUGGAGUUCUUGCGACUCUUGAGGAAAGUCCAUGCUAGCACAGUCUGUGAUGACUGUAGUGUUCGUGCAUAGGAAAUAAAUAACCUAUGGUAGUUUAACUAACGGCGGCGUAAGUCCUAAGUCGAAAGAUAUGGAAUGAGCCAUAAAGUGCCACAGAGACGAUCCUUUUAGAAAUGAAAGGCUGAAACGAUGGUAAACCCCGCGAGCUAGAAACCCAAAAUUGGUAGGGGAGUCUUAACAAAAGAAAAGAAUGGAGUUAAGGACCGAAAGGUAGAUAAAUGUUUGUCGCCCGUAAGGGAACAGAACAUGGCUUAUU
rnacentral:RNase_P_RNA from 1 species